rnacentral:piRNA from 1 species
UGAGUGUUCAGUGAUUCAAUUUUAAGAAGGU